rnacentral:rRNA from 1 species
GCUUGACACUGAAUAUAUUUAAUUUGUUUGGAGGGUGUUUAAUUUUAUAUAGUAAGUGUUUCGUUGGGGUGACGGGAAGAUAAGAGAAACUCUUUUUAAUUAUCGACACAAAUGAGUGAGUAAUUGAUCCAUAUGUAAUGAUUACAAGACUAAGU